UACGGAGGGUGCAAGCGUUAUCCGGAUUCACUGGGUUUAAAGGGUGCGUAGGUGGGCAGGUAAGUCAGUGGUGAAAUCUUUGGGCUUAACCCGAAAACUGCCAUUGAUACUAUUUGUCUUGAAUAUUGUGGAGGUCAGCGGAAUAUGUCAUGUAGCGGUGAAAUGCUUAGAUAUGACAUAGAACACCAAUUGCGAAGGCAGCUGGCUACACAUAUAGUGACACUGAUGCACGAAAGCGUGGGGAUCAAACAGG
rnacentral:rRNA from 1 species